rnacentral:rRNA from 1 species
AUUGAACGCUGGCGGCAGGCCUAACACAUGCAAGUCGAACGAGUGGCGGACGGGUGAGUAAUGUCUGGGAAACUGCCUGAUGGAGGGGGAUAACUACUGGAAACGGUAGCUAAUACCGCAUACUCUCGGAUGUGCCCAGAUGGGAUUAGAUAGUAGGGGGGGUAAAGGCUCCCCGAGGCGACGAUCCCGCGCGGGGCUGAGAGGAUGACCAGCCACGCUGGAACUGAGACACUGUCGAGAACCCUAAGGUAGGAAGCAAUGGGGGAUGUUGCACAAUGGGCGCAAGCCUGAUGCAGCCAUGGCGCGUGGAUGAAGAAGUCCUUCGGGUUGUAAAGUAAUUUCAGCGGGGAGGCGUUACCCGCAGGAGAAGCACCGGCUAACUCCGUGCCAGCAGCCGCGGUAAUAC